rnacentral:rRNA from 1 species
CAAUGGGCGAAGCCUGAUGCAGCGACGCCGCGUGGAGGAAGAAGGUCUUCGGAUUGUAAACUCCUGUUGUUGGGGAAGAUAAUGACGGUACCCAACAAGGAAGUGACGGCUAACUACGUGCCAGCAGCCGCGGUAAAACGUAGGUCACAAGCGUUGUCCGGAAUUACUGGGUGUAAAGGGAGCGCAGGCGGGAGAACAAGUUGGAAGUGAAAUCCAUGGGCUCAACCCAUGAACUGCUUUCAAAACUGUUUUUCUUGAGUAGUGCAGAGGUAGGCGGAAUUCCCGGUGUAGCGGUGGAAUGCGUAGAUAUCGGGAGGAACACCAGUGGCGAAGGCGGCCUACUGGGCACCAACUGACGCUGAGGCUCGAAAGUGUGGGUAGCAAACAGGAUUAGAUACCCUGGUAGUCCAAGGGCGAAUUC